CCUACGGGUGGCAGCAGGGAGGAAUAUUGGACAAUGGACGAGAGUCGGAAGCAGCGAAGGAGCGUGAAGGAUGAAGGCCCUAUGGGUGGUAAACUUCUUUUAUAAAGGAAUAAAACGAGGCACGUGUGCCUUUUUGCAUGUACUUUAUGAAUAAGGAUCGGCUAACUCCGUGCCAGCAGCCGCGGUAAUACGGAGGAUCCGAGCGUUAUCCGGAUUUAUUGGGUUUAAAGGGAGCGUAGAUGGGUUGUUAAGUCAGUUGUGAAAGUUUGCGGCUCAACCGUAAAAUUGCAAUUGAAACUGGCAGUCUUGAGUGCAGUUGAGGUAGGCGGAAUUCGUGGUGUAGCGGUGAAAUGCUUAGAUAUCACGAAGAACCCCGAUUGCGAAGGCAGCUUACUAGACUGUGACUGACAUUGAUGCUCGAAAGUGUGGGUAUCAAACAGGAUUAGAUACCCGUGUAGUC
rnacentral:rRNA from 1 species